rnacentral:rRNA from 1 species
GAUGAACGCUAGUACAGGCUUAACACAUGCAAGUCGAGGGGAAACGGGAGAAUAGCUUUGCUAUUCUUUGUCGUCGACCGGCGCACGGGUGAGUAACGCGUAUCCAACCUUCCCAUAACUAAGGAAUACCCCGUAGAAAUGCGGCCUAAUUCCUUAUGGCCUCUUACGCUGACAUCGGAAUAAGAGUAAAGAUUUAUCGGUUAUGGAUGGGGAUGCGUCUGAUUAGCUUGCUGGCGGGGUAACGGCCCACCAGGGCAUCGAUCAGUAGGGGUUCUGAGAGGAAGGUCCCCCACAUUGGAACUGAGACACGGUCCAAACUCCUACGGGAGGCAGCAGUGAGGAAUAUUGGUCAAUGGGCGUAAGCCUGAACCAGCCAAGUAGCGUGCAGGAUGACGGCCCUAUGGGUUGUAAACUGCUUUUUAAGGUGAAUAAAGAGGGGCACGUGUGCCCUGUUGCAUGUAGC